AGAGUUUGAUCCUGGCUCAGGAUGAACGCUAGCGAUAGGCUUAACACAUGCAAGUCGAGGGGCAGCAUGGUCUUAGCUUGCUAAGACUGAUGGCGACCGGCGCACGGGUGCGUAACGCGUAUGCAACUUGCCUCACAGAGGGGGAUAACCCGUCGAAAGACGGACUAAUACCGCGUACACUCCAGCUUGGGCAUCCAAGCUAGAGGAAAUGAAUUUCGCUGUGAGAUAGGCAUGCGUCCCAUUAGCUAGUUGGUGAGGUAACGGCUCACCAAGGCGACGAUGGGUAGGGGAACUGAGAGGUUGAACCCCCACACUGGUACUGAGACACGGACCAGACUCCUACGGGAGGCAGCAGUGAGGAAUAUUGGUCAAUGGGCGAGAGCCUGAACCAGCCAAGUCGCGUGAAGGAUGACUGUCUUAUGGAUUGUAAACUUCUUUUAUACGGGAAUAACAAGAGUCACGUGUGACUCCCUGCAUGUACCGUAUGAAUAAGCAUCGGCUAACUCCGUGCCAGCAGCCGCGGUAAUACGGAGGAUGCGAGCGUUAUCCGGAUUUAUUGGGUUUAAAGGGUGCGUAGGCGGCCUGUUAAGUCAGCGGUGAAAUCUAGGAGCUUAACUCCUAAAUUGCCAUUGAUACUGGCGGGCUUGAGUGUAGAUGAGGUAGGCGGAAUGCGUGGUGUAGCGGUGGAAUGCAUAGAUAUCACGCAGAACUCCGAUUGCGAAGGCAGCUUACUAAGGUACAACUGACGCUGAAGCACGAAAGCGUGGGUAUCAAACAGGAUUAGAUACCCUGGUAGUCCACGCAGUAAACGAUGAUAACUGGGCGUAUGCGAUAUACAGUAUGCUCCUAAGCGAAAGCGUUAAGUUAUCCACCUGGGGAGUACGCCGGCAACGGUGAAACUCAAAGGAAUUGACGGGGGCCCG
rnacentral:rRNA from 1 species